ensembl:lncRNA
AUGGGGGAGGAGGGCUCAGAAACCGCGGGAAGGCAGAGGGAGGGAGUUGAGAAUGAAAUUCCUCUGGUGCAGGGCUGCACCUGGAGCUUCAGCAAACAGGCAAACUAUACAGUCAAAGAAAAAGGAAAAGUCAUAAGAAAGAUGCUGUUCCCACCCAGCAAUUUGUGGAAGUUCAUUUUCAAGACAUUUUUGCAAAAGGUCCAGUUCAACUAGAUCUUUCCGAACAAUACAAAUCUUUGGAGGAAGUCAGGGUGGAUAUAGCUCAAUGACAACAGGCUGUGCGUGUCUGUGUGUGUGAAGGGUCACAGAGACCCCUCUAUGACCAGUCAGCCUGAAGAGCAGGUGGUCCUUAUCAUCAUCUUUCCAGUUUGACUGGGACACUCGCCACAUUGUGCUCCGCCAAGUUUAUAAGCAGCACCUGUGGGAUUGCUGGCCCCUCGGCUCAAACAUGUGGUGGUGGAGUAGACCUUAGGGGAAGUUGCACAGAAAUUUUAUGGAGCAGUUGUGCUUCAGCUGAACUGUAACUGGACAAAAUGAACAAUAACCAAAAAAAAAAAAAAGAAGAAGAAGAAGAAAAAAAAUAUGGUAACACUUUAUAAUAACAUUCACUGAUAAAUCAUUAACAAACAUUAUAUAAUGCUUAACAGAUCAUUAGUUAAUAUAUAUAUUAACAUAGCUAGAAAUAUGAGAUAAUAUUCUUGUUAAUGUUUACUAAUGAACUUACUAAACAUUAUCUAAUGAUUAACAUAUGAUUAUUUAAUGUAAACUGAAAUGCUUACAAAUGUCAGUAAACUUCCAGUUCAUAUGAUCUUCAUUUGUUGGUUUCUGUUUGUUGUGUAGACCUCUAUUUACACAUCUUAACAGAUCAUUUAUUAUUAAUUUGUUCAUGUUUUUGCAGUACCCAAUCUAAAGUGAAAACUAUUCAUCAUUUGCAAAUGUUUUAUUUUAAAUGUUUACUAAUCAUUUAUACCUUUAUGAGCAGUCAUCUGUGUCCCGAAAGACCUGAAUUUACCCUAUUCACACAUCUUUACUAAACAUUUAUUAAUCAUUUGUUAAUGUUUUGGCAGUAGCCAAUCUAAAGUUGAAACUAUUUGUCAUUUGUAAAUAUUUAUAAACAAUUAUUAAUCAUUUAGUAUAUUUAUGGGCAUUGGACUUUAAGCUAAUGUAACAAGGUUUGUGUAAAGGGUGGCUGAUUAAGUUUAGCUAAAUGCUUGCAAGACAUUACAAAAAUUUGCAAAAAAUAAAUAAAUAAAUAAAAAUUAUUGCCUCA